UAUACAAUGAAAUGUAAAGACACAUUUUUUUUAGAAAUUAAUUUUAACUACAAUAAUGAUUCUAUAUAAUUUUUUGUCAAAUAUAAUUUUAAGUAGUUAUGCGACAAACCGUGACAUUAAACAUUUUUUAGUCAAACUUUGACCUUAAGUCGCCACGUGUUAACUAUGUUCCAUUAACCUCAAACUGUUCAGACACUAUUUUUAGAUGCAUUGGAACAAAUCCCCGGCCAGCGCUCUUCAAAAUUAACAACUUCAAAAAUAAGUGGCACCCUAAUAUGUA